AUGGGGUCUCAGGCUCAGCUGUUCUGCCUCCUGCUUCUCUGGGUCCCAGGUUCCAGAGGGGCCAUUGGGGUGACCCAGUCUCCAUCCUCCCUGGCUGUGUCCUCAGGAGAGAGGGUCACCCUGUCCUGUAGGGCCAGUCAGAGCAUUAACAACCAUAUAUUCUGGUACCAACAUCCCCCAGGCCAGCCUCCCAGGCUCCUCAUUCACUGGGCUUCCACCCUGAACUCUGGGGUCCCUGCCAGGGUCAGUGGCAGUGGCUCUGGGACAGGUUUCUCUCUCACCAUCAGCAGUGUGGAACCUGAGGGCAUUGCAGACUGUUACUGCCUGCAGGUGGACAGGUGGCCUCUCCCAGUGCUCCAGCUCUGA